rnacentral:rRNA from 1 species
AUUGAACGCUGGCGGCAGGCCUAACACCUGCAAGUCGAACGAGGGGCGGACGGGUGAGUAAUGUCUGGGAAACUGACUGAUGGAGGGGGAUAACUACUGGAAACGGUAGCUAAUACCGCAUACCAUCAGAUGUGCCCCGAUGGGCUUGGCUAGUUGGUGGGGGAACGGCGCACCAAGGCGACGCUCCCUAGCUGGUCGUAGAGGAUGACCAGCCACACGGGAACUGAGACACGGUACAGACUCCUACGUGAGGCAGCAGUGGGGAAUAUUGCACAAUGGCGCAAGCCUGAUGCAGCCAUGCCGCGUGUAUGAAGAAGGCCUUCGGGUUGUAAAGUACUUUCAGCGGGGAGGCGUUACCCGCAGAAGAAGCACCGGCUAACUCCGUGCCAGCAGCCGCGGUAAUAC